AUCACAAGGAAUUCAAUGCACUGAGGCCACAUGAAUGGUUAUUUGGAGAGACUAUUGAGUGCUAUUUCAGAACUGUACUUAAUAAGGAGGAUGCAAAUCUCUACCAGUUAAGCCAUUACACCACAGGUGUCAUUUUAAAUGGCACAAGAGAGCAGAUGGAACAGCAAGGAUUUUGAAAAGUCAACUUAGAGCAAUAUGAUGGGGUCAUCACUUUUGUCAAUAUCACUAAAAAUCACUGGAGGUUUGUGGUAAGUAAAAGAGUGCUAAUUUCAAUGAUAAGCUACUACAUAUGCCCAUUUAGACAUGUUUGAUCUUUCAGUGACAUUUAUUUGCUAAUUUAUUUGUUUCUUUUUAUCCAAUUUAGUUUGUAUAUGCUCAGACUGACACCCUUUUCGUGCUUGACUCUCUGACUGGUACAAAUGAAAUGAAACUAAAAGGCAUGCCAA